rnacentral:rRNA from 1 species
AUUGAACGCUGGCGGAAUGCUUUACACAUGCAAGUCGAACGGCAGCACGGGGGCAGCCCUGGUGGCGAGUGGCGAACGGGUGAGUAAUACAUCGGAACGUGCCCGGUCGUGGGGGAUAACGUAGCGAAAGUUACGCUAAUACCGCAUACGAUCUGAGGAUGAAAGCGGGGGACCUUCGGGCCUCGCGCGAUCGGAGCGGCCGAUGUCAGAUUAGGUAGUUGGUGGGGUAAAGGCCUACCAAGCCGACGAUCUGUAGCUGGUCUGAGAGGACGACCAGCCACCCUGGGACUGAGACACGGCCCAGACUCCUACGGGAGGCAGCAGUGGGGAAUUUUGGACAAUGGGCGCAAGCCUGAUCCAGCCAUUCCGCGUGCAGGACGAAGGCCUUCGGGUUGUAAACUGCUUUUGUACGGAACGAAAAGGCUCUGGCUAAUACCUGGGGCUAAUGACGGUACCGUAAGAAUAAGCACCGGCUAACUACGUG